AUGUAACCCGGUCCGUGCCGCAAAGCGAACGGCGGCCGCGGCGCGGGCCCCGCGGGGGUUAGAGCCGCCACGCCCAGCCCACAGAUGUCACUUCUGCCUUUCCAUUAUUACUCAGUUUUCUGAAUGCCAGUUGCUUCUAGCAUAGUGCCUGCUCUAGAGAACCCCUCAGGAACCAAGGCCCAUCUUUCUGUGUUGUUCCACUCAACACUUAAGUUGCUGUGAUGGAGCCAUGUGGUCGGGGUCAGGGUUCCCACUGCACUUUCCGCAGUGCUCCCAGAACUCAAUAUGUACUGGGAAGGGCCUGCUGUAGUGACAGCCUCUCUUUGGGGCCAGCUUCUGCUUUUGCCCCCAUCUUUGCAGUACAGGGGGUAAAUUAAACAAGAGGAUGCCUGAAUGAAGGAUAUCCUGGGUUCUUGAGAGACAAGUGGGAGCUGAUAAUUCUGAAAAUUCAUUAGUCAAAGCAUGGAGAUAAAGGUGGCAGCAGGAAGGGCAGAGGCAAGGAGUAGACCCAUGACAGUUUUAGAAUCUUAUUUGUGCCAAAAUACUUUACUGCAUUGGCUUGGACCUCUAAUACAAUGUUGAAUUGUUAACCAUGAUAGCACUGUAUCCUGGUCUAAUUCCUGAAUUGAAUGGCUAGUCUUACCAUUAAGAAUGCUAUUUGCGGCCAGGCAUGGUGGCUCACACCUGUAACCCCACCACUUUGGGAGGCCAAGGCAGGUGGAUCACUUGAGGUCAGGAGUUUGAGACCAGCCUGGCCAACAUGAUGAAACCCCGUCUCUACUAAAAAUAGAAAAAUUAGCUGUGUGUGGUGGCGGGCGCCUGUAAUCCCAGCUGCUCUGGAGGCUGAGGCAAGAGAGUCACCUGAACCUGGGAGGCAGAGGCUGUGGUGAGCCGAGAUCGCACCACUGCACUCCAGCCUGGGCAACAGAGCGAGACUCCGUCUCAAAAAAAAAGAAUACUAUUUGCUAUGAUUUUUGGAUGAUAUCUUUAUAAUAUUAAGGGAUGUCCCUUCCUUGGAUUUUGCUUUUUAAGGGAAGGUAAUGUCUAAGAUAAGCCUUUGAAAUCUUGAAAUUCAGAGUGAUUUGGGAUUUAUAGAGAGCUGUACAGAGCAUUGGUGAUUGUUAUUCCUUGAGUUCUUAAAACGUAAACCAGGCCUGGGCCCUUCCUUCCUCUGUGCCCAACUCUCAUCCUCUGUGGUUUGUGGUUUCAGUUAUUGCCUUGUCUGUCAAGAUCCGCAGUUAUGAAGAACACUUGGAGAAACAUCGAAAGGACAAAGCCCACAAACGCUAUCUGCUAAUGAGCAUUGACCAGAGGAAAAAGAUGCUCAAAAACCUCCGUAACACCAACUAUGAUGUCUUUGAGAAGAUAUGCUUGGGGCUGGGGAUUGAGUACACCUUCCCCCCUCUGUAUUACCGAAGAGCCCACCGCCGAUUCGUGACCAAGAAGGCUCUGUGCAUUCGGGUUUUCCAGGAGACUCAAAAGCUGAAGAAGCGACGAAGAGCCUUAAAGGCUGCAGCAGCAGCCCAAAAACAAGCAAAGCGGAGGAACCUAGACAGCCCUGCCAAAGCCAUACCAAAGACACUCAAAGACAGCCAAUAAAUUCUGUUCAAUCA
rnacentral:sRNA from 1 species